CAGGUGCACACGUCCAUAACAUACCAUUGUGCUUUAAAAGCAAGCUGGAAAGCAGACAGCACACCACCCCUCUCCUGGCGCCGGUUCUACUCCAGACUGUGGGCCGGAAGCUCGAGAGCUCGCCCUCGGGCUGUCUUCUGUGUUUUUCUUUCCCUAAAAAAUUCAAAGCACCUUAAUCUCAGACCCAGAGUGGGUCCUCGCCCUGAGCCCCCAGGGCAGCUGCACUCGUCCCACGUCCGUGACAUCUUUCUACACAUCUGGGACGAACGGCCCUGUCGUGUGCGAAGUCUCCCACCCACUGGGAGCCGGAUGAGUCACAGCUGAACAGAGCCAGGGGGCGGAGGAGUGCGGCCGCGCGGAGGGACGCAGAGGACCGUGCCCACGGUGGGACUGGCGCCAGGACGUCGGUCCCUUCCCCUCCUCCCCCCUCCCUUCCUCCUUCCUCCCGCCUCCCUCCUCCUUGCUCCUUUUCUGCUUCUUUUCUCCUUCUUCCUUCCUUACUCUUUCCUCCCUGUUCCUCCCUCCUUCCUCCUCCUUUCCUCUUUUCUCCCUUCCCUCCUCCUCCCUUCCUUCUUUGCCUUGACAUUUUCGGCGUUUUAUAAAAUAAGUUCAUAAAGCCUGUUCACA
rnacentral:lncRNA from 1 species